rnacentral:rRNA from 1 species
AAAAACAUGUCUUCUAGAAUAAACAUUAAUUAGAAGUCCGACCUGCCCAGUGAAAAGUUAAACGGCCGCGGUAGCCUGACCGUGCUAAGGUAGCGCAAUCACUUGCCUUUUAAUUGGAGGCUAGUAUGAAUGGUCAGACAAGGGCCUACCUGUCUCAAAAAAGACGCUAUAAAUUGACCUUCGGGUGCAGAGGCCCGAAUAUAAAUAAAAGACGAGAAGACCCUAUCGAGCUUUAAUCUCAAUUAGUUUAUAAACAUAAUAUAGAUUUUUGUUGGGGCAACAAAGGGGCAAGCAAAAUCCCCUUUUCCUUUUCCGGCAACAAGCUGUCAAUUGAAAAUAAUUUCUUAUACUCGAUAAACAUUAAUUUCAUAACAAAAGAUAUCAGCUACCGUAGGGAUAACAGACUAAUGUCUCUUUAGAGUUCUAAUCGACAGAGACGCUUGGCACCUCGAUGUUGGCUUAGGAACCCAGUCGCGAAGCAGCACUCCGACCUAGUAGGCUUGUUCAGCCUUUAAUUUCCUACAUGAUCAGA